rnacentral:rRNA from 1 species
AUUGAACGCUGGCGGCAUGCCUUACACAUGCAAGUCGAACGGUAGAGGGGGCAACCCCUUGAGAGUGGCGAACGGGUGAGUAAUGCAUCGGAACGCGCCCAGUCGUGGGGGAUAACGCAGCGAAAGCUGUGCUAAUACCGCAUACGAUCUCUGGAUGAAAGCGGGGGACCGAAAGGCCUCGCGCGAUUGGAGCGGCCGAUGUCAGAUUAGGUAGUUGGUGGGGUAAAGGCCUACCAAGCCAACGAUCUGUAGCUGGUCUGAGAGGACGACCAGCCACACUGGGACUGAGACACGGCCCAGACUCCUACGGGAAGCAGCAGUGGGGAAUUUUGGACAAUGGGCGCAAGCCUGAUCCAGCAAUGCCGCGUGCAGGAAGAAGGCCUUCGGGUUGUAAACUGCUUUUGUACGGAACGAAACGGUCUGGGUUAAUACCCUGGGCUAAUGACGGUACCGUAAGAAUAAGCACCGGCUAACUACGUGCCAGCCGCCGCGGUAA